UACAGAGGGUGCAAGCGUUGUUCGGAAUUAUUGGGCGUAAAGGGCGUGUAGGCGGCAAUUCAAGUCAUCUGUGAAAUCUCCGGGCUUAACUCGGAACGGUCAGAUGAUACUGCUUUGCUAGAGUACAGAAGGGGCAAUCGGAAUUCUUGGUGUAGCGGUGAAAUGCGUAGAUAUCAAGAGGAACACCUGAGGUGAAGACGGGUUGCUGGGCUGAUACUGACGCUGAGGCACGAAAGCGUGGGUAGCAAACAGG
rnacentral:rRNA from 1 species